rnacentral:ncRNA from 1 species
UGAAAGACUUCGACAAGGAGUAGUAAUGGUGCAAAGCCUGAUGUAGAGAGCUGGCGGUCGCUGCAAGCCAGACAGGAUCCAUCAUGAACUCGCCUUUGAGUUGCAGACGUGAACCAACAAGUAGCGUUUGCCGUUUUUCCGCGUUAAGGGUGAAUGAAGCGAGUGUUGCACACUAAUUUGGGUGGUACCGCGGGAGAUCAUACAUUAUCUCUCGUCCCUUUA